rnacentral:tmRNA from 1 species
GGGGCUGAUCAUGGAUUUGACAAAAUUUACUAUCAUUAUUGUUGCAUGUCGAGGAUUGGUUUGCCUCGUUAAAAAACCAAAUUAAUUAAACGCAAAUAAACAAAAAUACGCUUUAGCAGCUUAAAAACCUGGAUAAAGCCCUUUUUUUUAGUCUAUUUUACUCUCUUUUAAUAGAAUAAAUAUCUUAUAAAAGGUUAUAUUUAAAAGAGAUAACGCUGAAACGUUAAUCUUGAAACAUCAGAGUUAUAAAAAAUCAAGAUAAAAAAUAAUACUUUGUUUAUUUUAGUAUUUAUUUUAUUAAAUAAAAUAAACUAAACAUGUAGAGCAAUACUAAUAGUUAUUUUUGGACGCGGGUUCAACUCCCGCCAGCUCCA